rnacentral:rRNA from 1 species
UGGGGAAUAUUGCACAAUGGGCGAAAGCCUGAUGCAGCGACGCCGCGUGAGGGAUGACGGCCUUCGGGUUGUAAACCUCUUUCAGCAGGGAAGAAGCGAAAGUGACGGUACCUGCAGAAGAAGCGCCGGCUAACUACGUGCCAGCAGCCGCGGUAAUACGUAGGGCGCAAGCGUUGUCCGGAAUUAUUGGGCGUAAAGAGCUCGUAGGCGGUCUGUCACGUCGGAUGUGAAAGCCCGGGGCUUAACCCCGGGUCUGCAUUCGAUACGGGCAGACUAGAGUGUGGUAGGGGAGAUCGGAAUUCCUGGUGUAGCGGUGAAAUGCGCAGAUAUCAGGAGGAACACCGGUGGCGAAGGCGGAUCUCUGGGCCAUUACUGACGCUGAGGAGCGAAAGCGUGGGGAGCGAACA